GAUGAACGCUGGCGGCGUGCCUAAUACAUGCGAGUCGAGCGAACGGACGAGAAGCUUGCUUUUCUGAUGUUAGCGGCGGACGGGUGAGUAACACGUGGAUAACCUACCUAUAAGACUGGGAUAACUUCGGGAAACCGGAGCUAAUACCGGAUAAUAUUUUGAACCGCAUGGUUCAAAAGUGAAAGACGGUCUUGCUGUCACUUAUAGAUGGAUCCGCUCUGCAUUAGCUAGUUGGUAAGGUAACGGCUUACCAAGGCAACGAUGCAUAGCCGACCUGAGAGGGUGAUCGGCCACACUGGAACUGAGACACGGUCCAGACUCCUACGGGAGGCAGCAGUAGGGAAUCUUCCGCAAUGGGCGAAAGCCUGACGGAGCAACGCCGCGUGAGUGAUGAAGGUCUUCGGAUCGUAAAACUCUGUUAUUAGGGAAGAACAUAUGUGUAAGUAACUGUGCACAUCUUGACGGUACCUAAUCAGAAAGCCACGGCUAACUACGUG
rnacentral:rRNA from 1 species